UGGGGAAUAUUGCACAAUGGGGGAAACCCUGAUGCAGCGACGCCGUGUGAGCGAAGAAGGCUUUCGAGACGUAAAGCUCUGUCCUAUGAGAAGAUAAUGACGGUAUCAUAGGAGGAAGCCCUGGCUAAAUACGUGCCAGCAGCCGCGGUAAUACGUAUGGGGCGAGCGUUGUCCGGAAUUAUUGGGCGUAAAGGGUACGUAGGCGGUUUUUUAAGUCAGGUGUCAAAGCGUGGAGCUUAACUCCAUUAAGCACUUGAAGCUGAAAGACUUGAGUGAAGGAGAGGAAAGUGGAAUUCCUAGUGUAGCGGUGAAAUGCGUAGAUAUUAGGAGGAAUACCGGUGGCGAAGGCGACUUUCUGGACUUUUACUAACGCUCAGGUACGAAAGCGUGGGGAGCAAACAGG
rnacentral:rRNA from 1 species